CUGAACAUGGACAAGGUGCAGGAGAAACUGAAGGAAAACCACCAGAGGAGAAUCAAGAAGGGGACCAAGUGCUUCGACAUCCGGUCAAAUUACUUGGCUUGGAAGAAGGAUGAAAGGAAGGCGAGACCUUGCUGCUCUUUCGCUCCUAGCUGGGGUCACUAUCCGUUCAGGGACCAUCCCUCACCUCCCUCAUCAACCCCACUGACAAAGAAAAUACAGACAGGACCUAGGGGUGCUGCCCAACAUGUCCAACAUGUCCUCCAUUACCAACCACCCUCCAACUUUUCAUUACAUCAUCUACAGCUACUGUUAUUGUCAUGUUGUCAUUAUCUGCUAAGAAAGAGCAAGAACACUUUCAUACUGGGAACAUAGUGAGAUACACAGAGGAUCUAAAAACACUAGCACUCAGAACAAAGAGAGCAGCAGUGCAUGGACUUCAGUCUCCCUCUUCCGAGACUGACUGUUUGUUGGGAACAAGUGACAGACAGAACCUCCGACCCACAUAGCACCCACCUCCUCUCUAUUCCACACACCAGAAGUCAGUAUUUCAGUCUAUGAUUGCCAUGUGAGGACAAAAAAAUCUAAGUUAAAUAUAAAAUCGUAAAUAUUGCCAGGUUGGUUUUCAGAGCUUGUUCAUUGUAAUGUAUCCCUUGAUGGUAUUUGUUAGUUCAACAUUAUUCAUAGUUGUAUCAUAGGACCCACAAUAGAUAUAUAUUCAACCACAAGUGUGUACUAAUGAGCUAUAUAAACUCAGAAAAAAA